rnacentral:rRNA from 1 species
UACGUAGGGACCGAGCGUUGUCCGGAAUCAUUGGGCGUAAAGCGCGUGUAGGCGGCCCGGUAAGUCCGCUGUGAAAGUCGGGGGCUCAACCCUCGGAUGCCGGUGGAUACUGUCGGGCUAGAGUACGGAAGAGGCGAGUGGAAUUCCUGGUGUAGCGGUGAAAUGCGCAGAUAUCAGGAGGAACACCGAUGGCGAAGGCAGCUCGCUGGGACGGUACUGACGCUGAGGCACGAAAGCUAGGGGAGCAAACAGG